AUUUAAUUAGUUUAAAAUAAAAUAUUGAUUUGUGGAAUCAAAGUUAUAGUAUUAUUUAUAUUGAAUA
rnacentral:tRNA from 1 species